GGGACCUUCGGGCCUUGCGCUAUCAGAUGAGCCUAGGUCGGAUUAGCUAGUUGGUGGGGUAAUGGCUCACCAAGGCGACGAUCCGUAACUGGUCUGAGAGGAUGAUCAGUCACACUGGAACUGAGACACGGUCCAGACUCCUACGGGAGGCAGCAGUGGGGAAUAUUGGACAAUGGGCGAAAGCCUGAUCCAGCCAUGCCGCGUGUGUGAAGAAGGUCUUCGGAUUGUAAAGCACUUUAAGUUGGGAGGAAGGGCAGUAAGCUAAUACCUUGCUGUUUUGACGUUACCGACAGAAUAAGCACCGGCUAACUCUGUGCCAGCAGCCGCGGUAAUACAGAGGGUGCAAGCGUUAAUCGGAAUUACUGGGCGUAAAGCGCGCGUAGGUGGUUCGUUAAGUUGGAUGUGAAAGCCCCGGGCUCAACCUGGGAACUGCAUCCAAAACUGGCGAGCUAGAGUACGGUAGAGGGUGGUGGAAUUUCCUGUGU
rnacentral:rRNA from 1 species